CCUACGGGUGGCAGCAGUGAGGAAUAUUGGUCAAUGGCCGGAAGCCUGAACCAGCCAAGUCGCGUGCGGGAGGACGGCGCUGCGCGUCGCAGACCUCUUUUGCCGGGGGAUAACAGGCCGGACUCGUCCGGCCCUGCGGGUACCCGGAGAAAAAGCAUCGGCUAACUCCGUGCCAGCAGCCGCGGUAAUACGGAGGAUGCGGGCGUUAUCCGGAUUCAUUGGGUUUAAAGGGUGCGAAGGCGGGCCUUUAAGCCGGCGGUGAAAUCGCGGGGCUCAACCCCGCCGUGCCGGCGGAACUGGGGGGCUUGAGGGCGGCGAAGGCAGGCGGAAUGCGCGGUGUAGCGGUGAAAUGCAUAGAUAUCGCGCAGAACCCCGAUUGCGAAGGCAGCGUGCUGUGGCGGAACUGACGCUGAUGCACGAAAGCGCGGGUAUCGAACAGGAUUAGAUACCCUAGUAGUC
rnacentral:rRNA from 1 species